CGCACUUUUUAACACAAAGACACUCUGACCUGUCACAGGUGUACAUAAUGAAACGAAAAUACUGAAUUUGGCUCACAGUCCCAGCAUUAAUGUUACUGAAAAUAACUGAUUUUCCUGCAUCUACUGCUGUGAAAAGGGCCUAUUACACUGUCAUACAAAGUAAGUUAGCUGUCUUCCAGGGUCGGGCUAACAGCCUGCUGGCAUAAAUGUUUUGUCAUCACUGCUUAGCUUAAAAGCUUUAUCACUGUUAUAUUCUUUUCUCUUUCUCGUUUUCCUUUUUUUUCACUGGUUGGGAUCAGCUAACCACAGCCUGGAAUACUGUGGCUUUAUGCAGCGAAAAUGGCUAACAAGGUAGCAAACAACUGCUUAAGUCACAGACAUAAGAUGAGCUAGCCGUUAUUGAUUCCUCGGGGGGUGAAUUCUGGUGUUACAGCGGCACAAAGACAGAAAUAAGCACAGCCACUUGGAGGAACCUACUGUAUUCUGGUCCCCUGAUGUAUGUAAGCCAUCGAUACCUGGCACACCACCAAGUCCCUGUUAGACGAUUGGAAACACAUAAUUAAUACCGGAGCACCUGUCAACCCUAUGCUGCCUGUAUCACCCUGCAAACAGAAG